rnacentral:rRNA from 1 species
UACGUAGGGUGCAAGCGUUAAUCGGAAUUACUGGGCGUAAAGCGUGCGCAGGCGGUUCGGAAAGAGAGGUGUGAAAUCCCAGGGCUUAACCUUGGAACUGCACUUCUAACUACCGGGCUAGAGUACGUCAGAGGGGGGUAGAAUUCCACGUGUAGCAGUGAAAUGCGUAGAGAUGUGGAGGAAUACCGAUGGCGAAGGCAGCCCCUGGGAUGAUACUGACGCUCAUGCACGAAAGCGUGGGGAGC